rnacentral:lncRNA from 1 species
AGUUUUGGGAUUGAUCACUUCGAGAGGAAUAUCAAGUCUUCCGCAACAUGGUUUUCUGUGGUGCAAUGAGGGACGCCGAAUUGCAGUGCCUAGAUGCCUGUAAUUCCCACAAUUGCAACUCGGCGUCGUCAUUGCACCACUGACAAUCAUUUGUUGCCCUAUUUCAAGAGUAUUUUGUCACAAAACUUGGCUAUUUUAGGCACCCAUGGUGCUUAGCUAUCUCUCUAAGAGUGUCAAUCAGCACACUAACAAACCAUUUCAUUUGAUCAUACGUCCGUAUAUUCGAGUUUUUAACAAUAGUGGUUUAAAAAUAGUAAGAAAAUAAUGUUCUAUAUGACUCUGAACUUGGAGAUUUAUAUUGUCAGCUUAAUUAUUAAUUGGGUUUGGUUUGAUAUUACUAUGCUUUUAAGAAAAUCAACUUUUGUUUUGUUGGAAAAAAAAUGGCUGCAGAAAGUAUCAAUUAAGUGUAUGAUAAACUUUUGUUUCAAAAUAAUUGCAUAUUAAAAUCAUAAUUUUAACAUUUUGAUUAACGAAUGAUUUAUUGUUAUACCUAGAGAAAAUAGACGGUCAACUCUAGGUUGACUACGUAACUCGGCCUAUGAACAUAGCUUUCUCCAUACAUGAGCCAAGAAUUAUUGAUUUGGAGUAUUAUUCAUUUUGAGAAUUAUAUUUUGAAAACCUGGAAAUAUGUAACAAGGGUUUUUUAAGUUUUUAAGGUAUGUGUUAUUUUAUUUAAGUAUUAGUCUACAAUAAUUAAAAUAAUAUUAAAAUUAAGAAAUACACGUAGACUAAUAAGGUUUAAUGCUUGACAUUCACGCCUUACACAUUUUAGAACAUUGAUUGUGUUGAUAUAUAAUCACUAAAUUGAAUUAAGCUUUCGGUACGAACUUUCCAUCAGUUCAGCUUCUGACAGAUGUCGCUAGAGGGUUCAAUGGUCACUUAU